rnacentral:antisense_RNA from 1 species
GUCAAUGAUGGGCUAGGUAAGGAGAUCGAAAGAUCUGGCCGUUGCACCGUAGACGGUUAUUGCAGACCUUGCCUAGUUCAUCACCAGU